GAUGGACGCUGGCGGCGUGCCUAAUACAUGCAAGUCGAGCGAACGGACGAGAAGCUUGCUUCUCUGAUGUUAGCGGCGGACGGGUGAGUAACACGUGGAUAACCUACCUAUAAGACUGGGAUAACUUCGGGAAACCGGAGCUAAUACCGGAUAAUAUUUUGAACCGCAUGGUUCAAAAGUGAAAGACGGUCUUGCUGUCACUUAUAGAUGGAUCCGCGCUGCAUUAGCUAGUUGGUAAGGUAACGGCUUACCAAGGCAACGAUGCAUAGCCGACCUAAGAGGGUGAUCGGCCACACUGGAACUGAGACACGGUCCAGACUCCUACGGGAGGCAGCAGUAGGGAAUCUUCCGCAAUGGGCGAAAGCCUGACGGAGCAACGCCGCGUGAGUGAUGAAGGUCUUCGGAUCGUAAAACUCUGUUAUUAGGGAAGAACAUAUGUGUAAGUAACUGUGCACAUCUUGACGGUACCUAAUCAGAAAGCCACGGCUAACUACGUG
rnacentral:rRNA from 1 species